UACGAAGGGUGCAAGCGUUACUCGGAAUUACUGGGCGUAAAGCGUGCGUAGGCGGUUUGUUAAGUCUGUUGUGAAAGCCCCGGGCUCAACCUGGGAAUGGCAAUGGAUACUGGCAAGCUAGAGUGCGGUAGAGGGUAGUGGAAUUCCCGGUGUAGCGGUGAAAUGCGUAGAGAUCGGGAGGAACACCAGCGGCGAAGGCGGCUACCUGGACCAGCACUGACACUGAGGCACGAAAGCGUGGGGAGCAAACAGG
rnacentral:rRNA from 1 species